rnacentral:misc_RNA from 1 species
GAUGAAGAACGUAGCGAAAUGCGAUAAGUAGUGUGAAUUGCAGAAUUCAGUGAAUCAUCGAAUCUUUGAACGCACAUUGCGCCCUUUGGUAUUCCAAAGGGCAUGCCUGUUCGAGCGUCAUUUGUACCCUCAAGCUUUGCUUGGUGUUGGGCGUCUUGUCUCUAGCUUUGCUGGAGACUCGCCUUAAAGUAAUUGGCAGCCGGCCUACUGGUUUCGGAGCGCAGCACAAGUCGCACUCUCUAUCAGCAAAGGUCUAGCAUCCACUAAGCCUUUUUUUCAACUUUUGACCUCGGAUCAGGUAGGGAUACCCGCUGAACUUAAGCAUAUCAAUAAGCGGAGA